rnacentral:rRNA from 1 species
UACGUAGGGUGCAAGCGUUGUCCGGAAUUAUUGGGCGUAAAGAGCUCGUAGGCGGUCUGUCGCGUCUGCUGUGAAAACUCAGGGCUUAACCCUGAGCUUGCAGUGGGUACGGGCAGACUAGAGUGCGGUAGGGGAGACUGGAAUUCCUGGUGUAGCGGUGAAAUGCGCAGAUAUCAGGAGGGAACACCGGUGGGCGAAAGGC